rnacentral:SRP_RNA from 1 species
CCAUACAGACCGGGGAGUUAGCGGUGUCCUGUACCUGAAAUCCGCUGAAGCAGGGGUUAUGUCCACAAUUGAGGGGCUUUUUUGUUCGGCUUGCGCCGUAUUUCCGCGCGUAGAAGAAUGGGUCCCGCGCAAUCGGAAGCCGUGAACCAUGUCAGGUGGGGAACCAAGCAGCAUUAAGCGGUGUAUCCGAUGUGCCGCGGGUGUGCCUGUUCCGAGCGCGGGGUGCGGUUUACACGAGUGAAGGGGUUUCGAUUUUGCGGCGUAUGG